UUCAAACCCAGAUAUAACCACAAAGACCAGGGAGGUUUUUCAAUGCCUCGCAAAGAAGAGCACCUAUUGGUAGAUGGGUUCCUUUGAGCAUGGUGAUGUUAUUAAUUACACUGUGUCAAUACACCCAGUCACUACACUGAAAAAACGGGACAAGGUGUGCUGUCAGAUUUAUGAAAAUGUGUGAUUUACUCAAACAUGUUUUGUUUCUUCUCUCAAUGCGAUUUCAUUGCUUGCAAUCAGUGCAACACGAAGCAAAAUCAGAUCUAAUAGUUUGAAUCAUGUAGGGGGACUGUGAACCAAUAAAGUUAAUUAAUGACAAGUAAAGAGGAACGAUUCAAACAGCACUAGAGAAAAAUCUUCCAGAAAGAACGUUGGUGGGUUAGUGGAGAAGACAGUACCUCGAGAAGUUUGGUCAAGGUUACUAAAAAUCUGACUGAGAAGUGUUCCUUCACUGUAUGUGGAGGAUGGAAAACCAGUUUGAAAUACAAACUGGCAAACUACCGCACUCGCCUGAGAAGACUGGAAUAUCCAGAGGUGACAAUAAACUCCUUGAAGCACAAACCUGCAGGGAAGUCUAGUGCAGCCUAUGGUGUUAAAAAGCCAAAGAGAGCAGAAGUGAACUUUUGCCCCACAUAUCCCUCAAGAGAAACAGAAGAGAGCCUCGAGGACAUGCGGAAAGCUCUGCUGUCCGAUGUGAAGAAAAGGAAAAACAGAGAGACAAUGAAGUUCAAAAAUGGAGAAUACAUUUGCAUACCGGAGACAUGAAGUUGUGGCCCGUGAUGCACCCAUGGCAGAGGACUUCAUGGCAAGAUGGCCUGCGCUCUUUGAAGUCAUUGUGGUAAGUUAGCCAUACUUGUCUUAUUGUUGGGUAUGUUAUCUGGGAUUUGUUGGUGAAGGUAGAAGAUUAUUUUCCUUCAGCUUGCCACAUAAGUGAGCCUUAAUCAGAGUUAUCACCAUUUGUGCCGACUGCUUAGUUAUUUCUCUCCCUAUAGAGAACCCUCUUGUUUACUGCAUGUGUGAUCAUCUCCAGUCUAUUUUCCUUUCUGCUUUUUUUAAUCUAAUUUGUUUAACUACCAUUUUCACGUCAAUGCUGAGUUUAAGAGAAUCACCACAACCCCACUCCAGUCCAAAUGUCUUUCUCAACGUGAUAUACACUCAGUUAACCUGCUGAAGUUGUUCCAAAGAAGGAGGAGGACAGCUGGGCAGAAGACUCAUAUCAAGCAUGGCACCUAUGGCUGAUAAUAGCAAUAUAGAUGUCGGACGAGAGUGCAUCAUAAAGGAAGUGUGGGUGUAUAUGGGUGAAGACCCAGAAAACCUUGUUCUGGAAUAUGUGGGCAUGGAUGAAGAGUCCACCAAGGCAGCCAUUGAGGAAACUACUGUGGGGGAUCUACAUUAUCGAAGACCAUUGCCGCGAGUGAGGAACCAGAGGAUGCUAGGAUUGUCCUUGAAGGCGUCAAGGUGGUGCAGGAUCUGGGCAACGUAGCAUUUGCUGUUCGGCCUGAUGUAUGGCAUGAACCUCAGUUACCCUACUGAGCUCCGCCACACCUUUGAAGUCUUUCAGAAGGUUUUAAUGGAGCUGAAUAGGAACAAACUUUCGAACAAAGCUGUUGCAUUUAAAAACAGGCUGUUUCAGUGAGUUGUUUUGUUGUGUGUUUCAGACUGUAUGUUGUGUUUCACACUGUAUGUUUGACUUAUGUUGAACUUGUUCACAAACACUCAAAACAGAAUGUGCAUGUCCAAAGAUGUGAUUUUGUUAGAUAUUUUGUAUAGAUGCCCUUAGUUUUCUGCUUAUGGAAAAAGUUCAGCUUCACUUUGUAAUGACUUUUAGUCAAUAGAACUAACAUGAACAAAUAUGUACACAUACCUACCUCAUUCUUUGUCUGUUACUCCUUAUGAAAAAUAACUACUUCAUUUUGUAACAAAAUACAUUAGAGAGAGUGCCCAAUCAUUGUUAGGCAACUCUUUUUUUUUAUACAGUCAUAUAGCCUACAGCACUGUGAUUUAGACCUGUGCAAUUCAUUGAACACUGAAUGUCAGUGAAUUUACAUACAGUAUAAUUUUUGAAACGCAUGCCUUUUGCCUUUGUCACUGAUGCAAAUGGUCUCUUGCUCCUUGGUUACACAUAUUUAGCAUGUAUUUUAUAUUUCCCUAUUCAUUUGUAUGAAUACAAACACUAAGGUAGAAAAUGGCAGCAUUUAAUCUUGUGCUUACAUUAAUAAUUAUGUAGAACCUUGUCCAUAAUACAGAGUAAUGUCAUCAAUAAAAGAAUGUUAGUUAUUAAGUAGUUAUCAGGUUUAGGGAACAUGAUCAAAUCCAUUUGAAGCUACACAUUUAAUUCAAAUAAAAUUAGCUUUACCAAAUCAUGUUAAAUUGAUUUUAUUCCAUUACAAUGCAUUUAUGAAAAUUAUUAUAUUUGCUUCACAAAAAGAUACAUUUGUGUAUAACAUGUUUCAUUCAUGUGGAACCGAUGUACACAUUUGAAUUAAGUAAAUUCAAUGCACCAUUCUUUUUCAGUGUACCAAGAUGCAGUCAUCCUUCCUAACUCAGUUGCCGGAGAGGAAGGAAACCACUCAGGGAUUUCACCAUGGGGACAAUGAUGAGUUUAAAACAAUUACCGUUCAUCAAAGGCUGUGAUAGGAGAAAACUGAGGAUGGAACAACAACAUUGUAGUUACUCCACAAUACUAACCUAAUUGACAGAGUGAAAAGAAGGAAGCCUGUACAGAAUACAAAUAUUCCAAAACAUGCAUCCUGUUUGCAACAAGGCACUAAAGUAAUAUUGCAAAAAAUGUGGCAAAGCCAUUCACUUUUUCGCCUGAAUACAAGUGUUAUGUUUGGGGCAAAUCCAAGACAACACAUUACUCUUCAUAUUUUCCCUUUAUCAAUGGUCUUGACUAGCCUAUUUGAUCACAUUGGGCAGGACAAAAAGAAAACAGCCUUCAUUGAGAAGAGGGGAGGCAAUGUAUGGUUUUUAAUUAAAUAAAAUGAAAUGGGGAAAAAUCAUUAGUCUUUGAUGUUUCUAAAUAUUAAGUAUACAGGCACCAAAAGCACAUCUCGUUCCAUACACAUAUGGGCAAUGUGCGUCAUGGCUGUAUAACCUGCAUUUCCGAUGUCAAAAUUCAUGCCAUGACCAACUGCGUUACCACUAAAACCAGCUUUGGUUGGUCUUAAAUAUCCCUACCAGCGCUGCCUGAAAUUAGCACUUUGAAUCAUAUUUUUAAGGACACACAUCAAAUAUUUCCACCCCUCCCAUCUGAGCGCUGAUGUUAAACAGGUACAUUUUUUUCUGGCAAUGUUCUUAUCCCUUGCUUGCUAGCUAGCCAACUUUGGCUAACACAGUCAUGUCAAACAGCGCAGCCAGAAUAACAACAAAGUAGCUUCAUAUUCAUUUGUUCAAGCUGUUUUCUAGUGAUGUAUUUUAUAUACAUCCAUAACAAUCAGCUAAUGAUGUGCCAUUUCGCAUGGCAUAGAACAUUUGCUCUUUCGCCAGGCCACUGUUCUUAAGAGAUUGCCAACUACACAGCUAACACAAUCACUUCAAACUGAAGCUGGAAUGACAGCAAACUAGCUGCAUUUUGUGUUUUUCUAUUGAUUUCUUUGUAUAUAUGCAUAAAACUCAUGCUGAUUCAUGAUUUCGCUUGGGCUGAGAAAAGCUGCCAGCCUGUCUGUCUUGUCCCGACACAUUCAUUACCAUAGGACAGCUGGAGAUCGAUAUUUGCAACAGUGAAAUUCAGAGAGACAGACAGCAAGGUUACCACAAAUCGCCGCUGUUGAAAACCAAAAUGGUAGUCUAAAAGAAAUGGGAGAUAAUGUCUAGAUGCUUUUUACAGUGUAGAUCUAGUAUAUACAUUGCCUGGCUGAGCUGAUGAGACAGUGGAUUGUGCAGUCAGAUGGAACAGAGUAAUUAGGCAUUUCAACAUCAGAUUUAGCCGGUGACUUGUGUAAUACACACCAGCUGGAACGCGGUUUUAACAAAUGAGCAUCCAGGAUUAGACCCACACGUUGUAUAAAAUAAAUGGUAUAUUUAAUUGAGAGACUGAUGACCAAUCAUUUUGUUUAGCUAUUGUGUCAGAAAAGGCCACACAAUGAUCCAAAAGGAUUGUUAUCUUAGUAUUUUUGUUUUCUAAAACCAUAUGGAUGACAAUCAGUACAGUAUACUUUAUACAAAGAUCCACAAAUAUUAGGUACAAGUAAAAACAUUUGAGUCAACACUUAUUGCAAUAUAAAGUUAAAAGUUAGUCGUAUGUACGGGAUACGCAUGGUAUACACGUCCAACGAAAUGCUUACUCGCAGGUUCCUUCUGACAAUGUGAAACGUUAUAUUCAACAGCAAAGUCAAAUUAGAAAAGGCCAUGGAAUCCAUCUAUUACAUGUCAAAUAAUAAAGAACGUUAUGAAUAUAUAGGUUCAUAUAAGCUUUCUUACCCCGAUAAGAUGCAGUAAUUCAGCAAUGAGAAAUCGUAGUUCCACUGUACUCAGCAUCUCAGACGUCGUGGCUCUUUUAUAUGGUUUGUUAUCUCGUAUGGACAAUGAAAAGAGUUCAUUGACACACCUUUCUGAUUCAGUGGAAAAAGGACCAUUUUUAUUUGCUUAUGACAAAUGGACAUUCUCUAGAACCAAGACAGAACAAAAAAACUAUCCUGCUUCUGCAAUGUAUUCAGAGUAGUAAGACAAGAUGUGCUCACAACCCAACCCCCCCGAGAAACAAAAUGUUGCAACUUUGUAUGAAUCUUGUCAACCAAGCCCCUUAGUGUGAAUUGUAUUUGCUCAAGCUUAGAAAAUGUUAUUGGUCACAUACACAUACACACAUACACAUAUUUAUUGGUCACAUAGACAUAUUUAGCGGAUGUUAUUGCAAGUGUGUCACGACUCCUACCUAAGGUGGCUCCCCUCCUGCUCGGGUGGCGCUCGGCGGUCAUCGUCACCGGCCUACUAGCUGCCACUGAUUCCCUUUUGUUUUCCCCCUUUUCAUUAUUAGGUGCACCUGUUCUGUGUUGGGGUGAUUAGCGGGCUUUAUUAGCCAGUAGGCCCACCUGCUCUUUGUGCGGGAUUGUUUCUCUGUAUGCUGUGCUUGGUGACACGCUGAUUUGUAUUUUGCCUUAGUGCGUGUGUUUGCGCCAACAGUGUUUUGUCCCCUGUGUUUGGGGCACUUUGUUUGUGUGCGCUCUGAUCGCUGUUUGGGGUGGGUUGUGUUUUAGCCAUUGUGCUCAUUAAAGCCUCUACCCUGUAUCGCUG
rnacentral:lncRNA from 1 species